rnacentral:rRNA from 1 species
UAGGGAAUAUUGGUCAAUGGGGGCAACCCUGAACCAGCCAUGCCGCGUGCAGGAAGACAGCCUUCUGGGUUGUAAACUGCUUUUGACAAGGAAGAAAGUUACUCUUGCGAGGGUAUUUGACGGUACUUGUAGAAUAAGCACCGGCUAACUCCGUGCCAGCAGCCGCGGUAAUACGGAGGGUGCAAGCGUUGUCCGGAUUUAUUGGGUUUAAAGGGUGCGUAGGCGGAUUGAUAAGUCAGUGGUGAAAUACUUCAGCUUAACUGGAGAGGUGCCAUUGAUACUGUUGAUCUUGAGUGAAGUCGAAGUAGGCAGAAUUGAUGGUGUAGCGGUGAAAUGCAUAGAUAUCAUCAAGAAUACCGAUAGCGAAGGCAGCUUACUUGGUUUCAACUGACGCUGAUGCACGAAAGCGUGGGGAGCGAACAGGAUUAGAUACCCGCGUAGUCC